GGGGUGACCCUUCCACGCAGAUCGGCCCGUGGAAAGUAUUUGUGGGGUGGGGGAGGCCGGCCAGCCUACUCUCCAUAGGGGUAUGAUCUACCACGGGCACGACGGGUAGCCGGCCUGAGAGGGUGGACGGCCGCACUGGGACUGAGACACGGCCCAUACUCCUACGGGAGGCAGCAGUGGGGAAUAUUGCACAAUGGGCGCAAGCCUGAUGCAGCGACGCCGCGUGAGGGAUGAAGGCCUUCGGGUUGUAAACCUCUUUCAGCAGGGACGAAGCGUAAGUGACGGUACCUGCAGAAGAAGCGCCGGCUAACUACGUGCCAGCAGCCGCGGUAAUACGUAGGGCGCAAGCGUUAUCCGGAAUUAUUGGGCGUAAAGAGCUCGUAGGCGGUUUGUCGCGUCUGCCGUGAAAGUCCGGGGCUUAACUCCGGAUCUGCGGUGGGUACGGGCAGACUUGAGUGAUGUACGGGAGACUGGAAUUCCUGGUGUAGCGGUGAAAUGCGCAGAUAUCAUGAGGAACACCGAUGGCGAACGCAGGUCUCUGGGCAUUAACUGACGCUGAGGAGCGAAAGCAUGGGGAGCGAACAGGAUUAGAUACCCUGGUA
rnacentral:rRNA from 1 species